rnacentral:lncRNA from 1 species
AAAUAGAUGAGCGAUUGGUCUGAAGCUACAAGAGAGCCAAGAUGAUGCAAAAACUCUGUAGAAAAUCUAUGCCUUGGACAGUGAGCUGACCUUAGAUGCCAGGUAACCUAAGUGUGGGCCUGACUCUAGUGACAGUGACAUCAUCGCAAGAAAGUCAGUUGUUCUAGAUCUUAAUUUUACCAUCUAUAAAACUAGGAAAAAUAAUGUAAUACUUACUUUUUUUUUUUUUUAGGACAACAAAAUAUCAAAAUCACCUUCCUAAGGACCCAGCCUUGGUGAACAUAUUUGCCUAAUCAAAUGUCGAGUACACGCUCAGAAAAGAUUUUUGGACUUAUGAAAUUAUUUCUAUAAAAAUUCUUACCAAGAGGUAAACAUGAAAUCACAUUUGUUUAUAUAUUUUGUAAAUCUUCUUUAAUCGAAAGCAAUCAGAACAGCCCCAAAUUAAGACUAUCACAGAAAAUCUUGGACUUUGGGGCAUUAUUCAUUAGAGAAACAGUAAAAACAAAACAAAACAAAACAACCAAGAAAACCUAUGUCAUUCUACCUACUUUCUACCAUAGUUGCUACCUUAGCUCCAGAUCAUCAUUAUCCACUGAUACCCCACAUUCAAUCUGCAGACGGUCCUGGGCAUGGUCCUUCCUGCCCAGUAAGUGUGGGGAGUGUGUGUCCUUACUAUUAGAUGUUUAUGCUAUUCUUUGCUUCCAUGUUUUGGCUUCAUUGAGGUUUUAUUUGUGUAACAGUUGGUUAACUCUCAUCAAAACUGUAGGAGAUGAAAAAAAUCUUUCCUCUACCCUCUUAGGUUUGUACCUGGGGCUUGCAAAUUAAACUGACAAAGAUAGGUUAACAAGAGAAAAAGCAUUUAAUUUUAAUUGAUGUUAGUUGGGGUUUUUUGUUGUUGUUCUUGUUUAUUUUGGGUUUUGUUUUGUGGGUUUGUUUUUUUUUUUUUUUUACCUGCACAGGGGCUUCACAGAAAAAUGAAAACCAAAGAAGUGGUUAAACUUAAGAACUUCAAUGCCAUUUUAACAAAGGGUAAUAAAUUGUAGAAAAAUGACUAGACAAAGGGUGGUUCGGCUUCUAGGGCUGAUAAGUUAUGGAAAGACAACUAGGAAAUCUAUGGGAGGAAACUAACGUUAGAUAAAGAUUGUUUAUUAAGAUUUGUACAGACUCAUCUUGGUGCCAUCUCUGUCUCUGGUGGUUAAGGAUUGUUCUCCCCUUCCUUAUAUGGAAGGAGCCACCCGCACAAAGGAAAUUUAUGUGCUACUUUUAGGCAGAUGGGAAAGGGAACAGAGAGCUCUUCUUAUGUCUGUUUUUUUUUUUUUUUUCAAUUGCCUUCAGCUCAAAACAAUCCUUAUGCCAAAGUGGCAUAUUUGGGGAUGCUGUAUCCUGAUUCCCUUGAUAACCGUAUCACAGCUUGAGCAGGUACUGGGUAGUGCAAGGAAGGGUAUCAGAGUUUCAAUUUGAGCUUUGCUUGAGUGACAAACCGGUCCCACUUAGCCAAUCAGUGGCUUUAGAAACCCUUAAUCAUUUAGAAACCCUUAAGUCCUUAUUUCUGAGUUUUCAGGUAGACAGAAGGGAGAGGCCAAGAACCAACAACUCAUGAAUGAAAAAUUUCCACCUUUAAUUACCAAUUUUAGCAGAAAGCAAAAGGCCUUUGACAGUGCAGGAGAUUGAUCAGUUCACUCCAGUUGAAAUCAUCGUUUUCUGGGGUCAGGGCAUGAACAGCCUCUCCCAGCUGGAUAGGAUGCUCAGAUUACCAGCCCUGCAAAGGAACCAAGGGAGAAGCAGAGGCGAGGGGGAGCAAAAGGUCUCUGCUCUCUCCCUCAAGCUUCUCCGUGGGCUGGAGUCCCCAGAAGCUCUUGCAGAAUGACAGCCCCACCUGCCCACGCACCCUGGUCACGACACUGCCUCCAUGUUCUGCACCAGGAGCUGCCCCUCCUACAGUGCAAAUUCUCCUCCAUACAAUCUAAUCUGCUGCUUAAUCCAAUUUUUGUUUUUUAAAAGAAAUGAUUUGGGCCAGCCGGCAUCAACCUACAAAAGGAAAACAGCUAAACCUGCUCUAUUCUUUUCCAGAUAAGAAUUGUCUCUCUCUCUACCUUUUCAGCUGCGAUUAGCAUAACAAUCCCCAGGGGUUUGCUCACUGAGGGAAAUACCCAGGGUUCUCUUUAAGCAGUGGUUAAUUACAUCCUGCUAUUUAUCCCAUUGAUUAGAGGUUAACUAAUUUGCACCCAGCCAACUCCGUUUUUAAUCUAAUCUAUUUCUCUUUUUCCCCAGACUCCUGGUGUCCUGCAUCCUGUCUGUCACACAGUCUUCAACCUCCCUACCAAGGAAAAAGGUAAUGAGAACGGUCUUCUCCUCCAAGGACCAAAGGGCCCUUUUCAAAGCCCAUCUGGAUGCCCCUGCCUUGAACCUGAGCUAUAUCCUCUCCAGACCUGGCUUUCGUUUGGUGCAGUGGAAAAAGACACAGGCUUUGGAGCCAGACAAAUGUGGGUUUUGUGUGCUAACUUGGUCAUUUAGCCACCUGGGGAACUUUGGAUGAGUUCUGACCUUUACUUUCCACAUCCUCUCAAUGGGAGUGUUACUAAAUGCUUAGGCUAAUUUGGGAGAGUGUCGUUCUUCAAAAUUUAUUCCCUUUCUUUUCGAGAAUUUUUUAAGCUGGGAGAUGCCUGUGAGGCAGCAUUUCUUUUCUAAAUUUUUUUUUUAAUGUUUAUUUUUGAGAGAGAGAGAGAGAGUGGGGCAGAGAGAGAGGGAGACACAGAAUCCGAAGCAGGCUCCAGGCUCCGAGCUGUCAGCCCAGAGCCCGACGCGGGGCUCGAACUCCCGAACCGCGAGAUCAUGACCUGAGCCGAAGUCAGACGCUCAACCGACUGAGCCACUCAGGCGCCCCAGCUUUUCUGAUUCAUACAUCAGAAUCAGAGGUGCAACUGGCAAAACUCCAGGUGCGUUGAAAAGCCCGGGUAGGUACAGUAUCGUCAGGCCAGGCUACUGAGCUGGCCCAGCUGUUAAGCCAGGUGUUUGCCCAUCGGCCAAUGUGCCACAAAAGGCCCCUGGAUCCUUUCUGCUGCGUCCCGCUACCCUGGACUGCUCCGUGCUCCCCCCUCCCAUCCCCCUCCAUAUGUCUCCACCAACCCACGGAUCCCCACACACAUCUCACUGUAUCAGUGAGAACUUCUGUGACCCCUUCAGCAAGAAAGGCAACCCUUCCGGCUUCUGGCUUCCUCCAAUCCUUGCUGCCUUGCACUCAUUUCUUUCUUACUGUUUUCUGCACGGUACUUCUCCUUCCACCAAGAAAUGUGAGAAGUGCUCUUGAUGAAACGGUAGCCUCCAAUUCUACUCCUGGGCAAAGUGUCUUAGUUUGUUCAGGCUGCUAUAACAAAAUAGCACAGACAGAGCAGCUGAGACAACAGACAUUCAUUUCUCAGAGUUCUGGAGGCUGGGGAUUCUGCCCAAGAUCACCGUGCCGGCAGAUCUGGGGUCUGGUGGGGACCCGUUUUCUGGCUUCCAGGUGGCCGUCUUUCCAUGGCAUCAUAACCCGGUAGAGAAGGAGGACACAAGCUCUGGCCUGUCUCUACUUACAAGGACAAUUCAUGAGGGCUCCACCCUCAAGACCUAAUCACCCCCCAGAGCCCCACCUCUCGGGAGUACCAUCACCCUGGGAAUUAGGGUUUCAACAUCUGAAGUUUGAGGAGACACAAACAUUCAGUCUGCAGCAAGCUUCCCGCUUCCAGCCGGGGUUUUCCUGAUUUUCAAUGGCAGAAUUAAACUCAUCUUAGACAUUGCAGCAAAUUCACACGAAAGCCCCUGUCCAUAUCGUGAAUGGCAACACUGCAAGCUCUGUGCUUGAACCCUGAUGAAACUCCUACAAUCCUCAGGCCGAGCUCUAUGCAGAACAAGUGCCGAGGCUCCUUGUAUCGCCCCCCCUCCCCCCUCCUGUCUCCCUCUCCCCCUCCCCCCAGCGCCACCUCUGUGUUUCAUUUGUGCUCCUUACGGUCUUUCACACACCCUGCAGGAUUCACCUGCUCCAGCACACCAUCACUCUUGCUGGCUUCUCUGCCCACCAUUUCCUGCACCUUUUAUGUGGUUUUGAUGUUUGCAGCCGGGGGACCCAGGACCACAGCUCAGGUGCCUGGAGAGACCCAUCCAGACCCUUAGCCUCCAGCUAGUCCACGGGGCCAACUUCUCCUUGGACCCCUCUAGCCUGAGCAACUGUCCAAAGCUCCAGGCAGUUUCCAAUCCCGCCCUGAAGAGGCGUGUGCUUUGCAGGAACUUCUGACCAAACUAGCUGCUUCCGCUCAGCUGAGGCGCACAAAGGCAGUCACAUUGAAACAGGCUUAUGUGUGUAGAUGGCUGUGCAGAGCAGAACCCGAGCUAAAGGGUAUACUUCCUGGCCUGAGGCAUAAACACCACAUAUACUUUUUUUUUCUCCUUUCAUAAGGGAUAUUUUUCAGGCUUGUAAUGAAGUGUGGUCAGAAUGUAUUCGCUUCUAGAAUAUUAAGCCAGGCAGAGGUUUUUUUCCUUUUUUCUCUUUUAUACAUGUGAAUAAAAGUGGAGUAAACAGAGCAUACUGAUAAAUAUUUUACACAAAUGUCAGUGGAUGUAAUUCUAGAGCAGACAUUUUUCUGGGGGAUUUGGUGUUGGUUUAAAAGGAAAGGCAGGAGAUCAGACUAGGUACCUUUAGCAGUAGCUUCACAGAGUUUGGGUUGGGAAAAGCACAGAAAUGGUUUUUUAAAUUUUCAGGAUUUCCACUUGGAAGUUACCAAGGUUGAAAAAUACCAAACUGCGGAAUGCUAAAACUGUAGAUUCUUUUGGUCUUCCUUACGAGGACCCCUGUUUCUGUGCCUGCUCUCCACGUGGCUGAAGAAUCAAGAAAAAAUGUUGUGCGGGACACUUGGGUGGCUCAGACGGUUAAGUGGCUGCCUUUGGCUCAGUUCACGAUCUCACGGUUCAUGGGAUUGAGCCCCACAUCAGGCUCUUUGCUUGGUUCAGAUCCUCUGCUUCAGAUCCUCUCUCUCCCUCUCUCUCUCUGUCCCUCCCCUGCUCAUGCUCUCAAUCUCUCAAAAAAAAAAAAAAAAAAGUUGCAGAUGGGCUUAACCCUUCCCUGUAGGGCAGCUCUGACAGAGGCCUUUUCCUGUAUGAAAUUCCCCAAGAUUUCAGAAGAUAAAAUGUGUGUGUGUAUCUCUGUGCGUGGGCACAAAUACAUAUAUGCACACGCAUACCUGUGUGCACGUGUUUGUAUAUACAUACACAUCUGCACAAGUGUGUGUAUAUACAUUUUUUUUUUCUUCUUGAAACACCCAUUUCCAACCUCCCUGUCCCUACCUGGGCUCAUUUUUGUAAAACCUCCUUGUUCUGUCCCCACCCUUGCAAUUCAAAGGGGCUUUCUUCCUCUUCUGUUGUAUGUGUUAACUCCUGCUCGCUUGUGAUAAGAUGUAUUCAAAUUCAGUGCUCGCAAAAUUCAGAGACCGAUUUUAUUCCACCUCCAGUCUGGGUUUUCCCACGUGUCGGUGCUUCUUGAGUUAGUUACCGCUCUGGAAGGUCAGCAGCAAUCACUGGGUGAUGAUUGAUGCGGGGUGCUUGGGGGUGGACAGGGAGGAUCAGGGAGGAUCCAGGAGUGAGCCGUCUUGCAUUUCGUUCUCAUCAUUGCAGAGGAGAAUAGUAGUUGUUCAAAUGAGGCCCCGAGAAGAAGGGCCUGGACUCCUACCUGGCCAGUGCCUCAAGGUCAGCUCGUGCCUGUCAUCAGGGAGGGUCUGUGUCUGUCUCUCUGAAUCCCUCCUGUGCUUCUUCUAGUUCUGUUGUGUGGGGGUUUUUUUAAGUUUAUUUAUUUAUUUUGAGACAGACCGAGACGGUAUGAGGGGAGGGGCAGAGAGAGAGAGGGAGAGAGAGAAUCCCAAGCAGGUUCCUCACUGUCAGCACAGAGUCCGGCAUGGGGCUCGAACUCAUGAAACCACGAGAUCAUGACCCGAGCUGAAACCAAGAGUCAGUCACUGAACCAACUGAGCCAGACAGGUGCCCCCACUUGUAGUCCUAUUUUGAAAGGACUGAGCAACCUCUUCUGCCUACUUCUUGGAUGGGGCUCCUUUCUGAACAUGACUCCAUGUCAAAUACCCUGCCAGGGUGUAGACCACAAUGAGCACCCAGAAAAUGGGGACCUGAAGGGGCGCCUGGGUGGCGCAGUCGGUUAAGCGUCCGACUUCAGCCAGGUCACGAUCUCGCGGUCUGUGAGUUCGAGCCCCACGUCAGGCUCUGGGCUGAUGGCUCGGAGCCUGGAGCCUGUUUCCGAUUCUGUGUCUCCCUCUCUCUCUGCCCCUCCCCCGUUCAUGCUCUGUCUCUCUCUGUCCCAAAAUAAAUAAACGUUGAAAAAAAAAAAAAAUUAGAAAAUGGGGACCUGCUUUAGUCAGCUUGGGCUGCUAUAAGAAAGGACACAGACACAGACACAGUGGCUUAACCAGCAGGAAUUUAUUUUCUCGGUUCUGGAGGCCCGAAGUCCAAGAUCAAGGUACCGGCAGGGGUGGUUCCUUCUGAGGCCUCUCCCCUUGGUUCAUGGGUGGCUGGCUUCUCUCUGUGUCCUCACAGUGGCCUUUCUUACUUUCCUCUUCUUAUAAGGACACCAAUCAUAUUGGAUUAGGGCCCACCCUUAUGACUUCAUCUUAACUUAAUUAUCUCUUCAAAAACCCCAUCUCCAAAUACAUACAUCAUAUCCUGAGGUACGGGGAGUUAGGAUUUUAACGUAUGAAUUUUGGUGACACAACAGAGCUGCUGUUAACUCUUCCCAGAAAGAGGCUUGAAAUCUUCAAUAUCAUUCUUCUUGACACUCUCCCCAGGAGGUAGUUCUGUGUGGCUGAGAGAACUCAGGUUCUAGAAUCAGCCGGAACUGGAUUUGAAUCCCAGAUUGGUCCUUUCUAGCUGUGUGCCCUUAGGUCGGUUACUUAAUGUUUCUGAGUUCCAGUUUCCUCUGCUGACAAAUGGGCCACAACCCACACACCUUAGGAGCAGCCCAAGGAUUCAAUAUAAUGACGUAAAAGAGCCUGGCAUGCUACCUGGUUCGAGACGCAUGUCUCCUACCUUACCUCUUGACUCAUUCACUUCUCGGAGGUCCCCAAGCACAUGCCCAUCUAGAGAUCAGACAGGUACAUUUAUUUCUGACCAAGAGAGCAAUUGCCUGCUGGGUCAAUAGCUUAUGCGCCCCUCAGGAUAUCUCAGAACCUCAAGGGAAGGAUCUUUGUCUCCUGGGGCCCCGCGCUGUUCCUGGAUCCCACAUGCACAGCUGAACCUGCUUUGUGCUCCUGGACCUUCCCUCCAGCAGCUCCUUCCCCUGCUGGGCUGGGGGUGGGGGAGGGCUAGGGAGCCUCAACUCCAAGGGUGCUUGUCCCAGGGCAGGCAAGGGGAGGGCAGAGGUCUCCUGGUGGAGAGGCCAACGUGGCCACAGAAAGAAAUCGAAAUGCUCGAGCCUUGGAUUGGGGCCAAGGCAAAUCUGCUUGUACUAGGUUGUCAGAUUCCAGGGAUGAGCAGUUUCCCAGGCUGUGGAAGGUGACCUAUGGCUUGUCAGGAGAGCCAGAAGCAAUUGCUAAGAGCAGUUGAGGAGAGUGAGGGCGACAAGGGAGAGUGCCAGAUUCGCUGGGAGAGCUUGGCUCUCCUUGCUUUAGAAGGCAGUGUAUGGAGGACAUCCCUGAAGAUAGAGAAGGAGUUUCUAGAUCAGAAGGCAUGUUGCAGGGCUGCUGGAAUCAGCACUUUCCAAGUACCNNNNNNNNNNNNNNNNNNNNNNNNNNNNNNNNNNNNNNNNNNNNNNNNNNNNNNNNNNNNNNNNNNNNNNNNNNNNNNNNNNNNNNNNNNNNNNNNNNNNNNNNNNNNNNNNNNNNNNNNNNNNNNNNNNNNNNNNNNNNNNNNNNNNNNNNNNNNNNNNNNNNNNNNNNNNNNNNNNNNNNNNNNNNNNNNNNNNNNNNNNNNNNNNNNNNNNNNNGGUGGCGGUUUUCUCUCUUGCCUCUCUUUUGCCUGUUCCUGCCCUUCCUAGCCUAGUUCCUAACUUCUCCAGAAGGUGCUGAAAUGGGAAAGUUGACAGAGAAGCAACUAGGAUAUGCUUGGCAAGGGUAGGAACUGUGUUAGAGUUAUUUGGGUACUGUGUCCUUAAAAGUACCCCCUUUCUUGGGGUGCCUGGGUGGCUCAGUCCGUUGAGCGUCAGACUUCAGCUCAGGUCCUGAUCUCAAGGUUCGUGAGUUCCAGCCCCGCAUUGGUGUCUGUGCUGACAGCUCAGAACCUGGAGCCUGCUUCCGAUUCUGUGUCUCCCUCUCUCUCUGCCCUCCCCUGCUCAUGCUCUCUCUCUCUCUCAAAAAGUAAAUAAACAUUGGAAAAAAAUUAAAAAUAAAAAAGUACCCCCUUUCUUCCCAAUGCAGCAGAAAAGAGACAAAGGUUGGGUAAACACUGGUCAUUCCAUAGCCCAAGCGUCUGCCGGAAGCUCCGCUGGGGAGCGGGGAAGAGAAGUGGUGCACAGGCAGAGGAAUCCCCAGCCCUCUCCCUACAUCCAUGAAGACGCAGAUGUCUCUUGGCCCAACCAUCUCCCACCAAAACGGGUGGUGCGUCCACAGCCUUUUCCCCACACUGCUGCGGGAUUAACUUUCUUAAACACAGCUCCGAUCGUACCUCUUGAUUUUAAACGUCUGAUGACUCUAUUGCUGGCCACGUUCAAGGAGUCUACCCCGAAACAUCUGCUUCCUCUCCCAACAUCUUUGACCCUUUGUCCGGAGUCACCCUUUGCCCUGUGUCUUCCUUGGAUGUGCUCUGUAUUUUCUCUCCUGAGCGCUUUGGCUCACACGUGUCCUUCUCCCGGGUCUCUCCAGACAGCCGAAAGAAGCGCGCGCCCCGCUCUGCGCAUGCGUGGACGAAUUUGCACGCUGUGUGAUUCCCGGUCCGCUCCCACCCGGGCCUCAUGGAACCCAUCGUGGGUCUGUUUGACGGUCACCCCACAUCCGAGUGAUGCAAAACGAGAACAGUAACCCGUCUCAAGAAGAGACUUCAAACUUCCCUUUUGAGUCAACUGGAAAUUUGGACAAAACUUCUGUUGACAUUAUAUCUGCCCCUUUCACUUUCGGUUCACGGAGACGCACUGACAUUUCUGAAAGGAUGUGGCUCUUCCUAGUGUGGCAAACGAUACAUUCAUGCCUAUGCACUUACAGGGAUGGUCUUUGUUCCUUGUCAUGAUCAAAUGCUCUGUUUUCUUGACUCUCCAGCCAAAAGUAAUCCUCUUUUCUUUUCAACUCUUUCAGCACUCCAUUUUUUCUUGAUUCAGUUAACAAACACGCAGGCAUUGUUAUUCUACCAGGCACUGUUAUUUGUACCGGGUGGUGGUGGUCAGCAGGACCAAUUUAUUGGUCAAUAAAUUACGAUGAAAACCC